rnacentral:rRNA from 1 species
UGGGGAAUAUUGGGGCAAUGGGGCGCAAGCCUGACCCAGCAACGCCGCGUGAAGGAAGAAGGCUUUCGGGUUGUAAACUUCUUUUAUCAGGGACGAACAGAUGACGGUACCUGAUGAAUAAGCCACGGCUAACUACGUGCCAGCAGCCGCGGUAAUACGUAGGUGGCAAGCGUUAUCCGGAUUUACUGGGUGUAAAGGGCGUGUAGGCGGGAUUUCAAGUCAGAUGUGAAAACCGAAGGCUCAACCUUCGGCCUGCAUUUGAAACUGAAGUUCUUGAGUGCUGGAGAGGCUAACGGAAUUCCUAGUGUAGCGGUGAAAUGCGUAGAUAUUAGGAAGAACACCAGUGGCGAAGGCGGUUAGCUGGACAGUAACUGACGCUGAGGCGCGAAAGCGUGGGG